CUUUAAUGAAUGUAGACAUGGACACUCAUACAUCAGAGAGCAGAAGUACUUUAAGAACCAUCUAGCCCUACUCCUUCAUUACACGGAUGAGAACGCUGAGGUCCAGGGAAAUGGAAAGCUUUGCUCUGUCUCCUGCUGGGACAAGAUCCUUAAUUGCCUGAUUCCUCACAUCAUGCUGAUCUUUCCUCUAACAAGAAAUUGACUGAGCUUUCACAGACAACGAGGCAACACCUGAAAGAGCAAAGAUACCAAGUCAGAUUCAUCUGAGUUUGGAUCUCUGCUUGCCAUUCUUUGUUGUGUGAUUUUUGACAAGUUACUUAAUCUCUCCAAGCUUCACUUUCCCCACCUGUAAAAUGAAGAUUAAAAACACCUUGAAGGUGGGCUGUGAGGAUUAACGUAAAGCCUUUGGGAUAGGGUCUGAUAUUCACGAGCCACCAUCUAGACCACAUUCUCUACUUAUGUUGACUUCUCCAGCCCCUGUCUCUUCCCUACCCUUUCUCUAUUCUCAAAGGGUUUGCAGGGAUUCUGCAGAAAAUUUAUUUUUUGGAAAUUCUUUGUGGAACUCAACACAAAUUCAGCAUAUCAAAUAAACAAAAUAUUAAGAAAUGACUCUACCUUUUCCCCUAACCUUUCACGUAGGGUUCUGAUCCCUAAGAUGCAAAUGGCAAUUAACCCUGCCCCCCACACUAGCCCUCUACCUCUCCCUGUGAUGGCUCUGCACAGAUCUCAGGAAGCUUUAUGUGAAAAUAACACCUUGGAACUAGAAGCAGAAGGAACUAGAGAGGUUUCUGCUGGAAGCAUAAUAUAAAAGCCAGUUUUGAAGAAGGCGGGGGGUGGUGGGGGCUCAGAAAAAUGAGCGAUUACCCGAAGGAACUUUUUUUUCUCCCAACAUGAUUUUUGAUGGCUCAUAGUUACUUUCAUUUGUUCCGUGACUUUGAGAGGCUGACAAAUAGCAGCCUCAUUCUGAAUGCCUAUUGUUACUCCUGAGGUUUUAUGUAGAGUAGAAAAGAUUGUUUUGAACGUUUCUCAUGGACAAGUGGAAGCUGUACUCUUGCUACAAAUGAUUCAUGUGGGAGAAAUGAUAUAUAAACAAGAUUGCCUGCUUGGAGAGUGGAUGAGAGGGCGAGUUAUUUCAGGAGGGCUCUUGACUCUCAUGCCAGCAAAUGAUAAAAGCUAGCUCUCAGAAUGGCAGGGGUGCUAUGGAAUGGAGGCUUCAGAAACUUUUUGACUCUUACAUUUUAUAGUCAAUGUCAAAAAAAUGUAUUAUAAAUUUCUGACUAAGUCCAGUUACUUUUUCAUGGUGAUGAUGUAGCAAUAGGUUGAUUCAACCUUGGGCCUUGUCCUGUCAGUGUGUUGAGGCUGAAAGAGCCUGGGUUCUGGAAGCUGAGCCUCUGGGGUAAGGUAGGUGCCUAAGGGGCAAAAUUUCAGGAGGCACCUACUCUCAGGGUCAUACAGGCACAGAGUCAGCACUUGCACAAUCCUGUAAGUGAGAGCCUCCUUAAAUUUUGCCCUCUGGGUCACCCUCUUUUCUCACCCAAAUCCGGGCCCUGGAAUUGAAUUAGAAUCAAGACUCCAUCACUUACUGGUGGUGCAACUUUAGGGAAUCAGUUAGGAUUAGUCUUGGCUAUAAAAGAAAAAAGCCAAGUGAGAGUGGCUUAUUUCUCUAUUACAUAAAAAUCUAGAGCGAUACAGGACAGGGCUGGCAUAAUGUCCCUGUUGCAUAAAGUCAUCAGAUCCUAGUUCCUUCCAGUGCACUUUUCUGCCAUUCCUAGGGUUUUGCCUUCAUGAUUCAAAAUGACAUAUCCACAUUCUAGGCAGCAGGAUGGAGGAAGGUGACUAAACCAUGUGAAUAUAUUACUGAUUUUUAAAAAUAUAACAAAAUUAUAAUUAUAAACAUGUAGAACAGAUUGUAAAAGCCCAAACAAUACAAAAGUAAAAUAUAUUUUUGGAUUGUUAAAUCACCUAUAAUUGUUAUUUCUAUCAGCCCCACUCCAAAUUCCCAGCCUAAGCAUCUAGUUUAUUGCAACUAUUAAGGAUUGAGCCAGUCUUGAUUCCCACAAUUGAAAAUGUUUUCAGAAGGAAUUAUUCUUAUGGAAGCUCAUAAAAUGUUCUUAAACCCAUAGGUUUGAAAAUAAGAAAAUUAUCUAGAGUGGAGUGGUAGACAGCUGAGUUAUCUGCCUGCCCAGCACUCACUUCCCAUUCUGGCAGGCAUACUUCAAUUUUGGUUUGGGGAACAAACUACCAGGUUCCUUUGCUUACAGACUUGGUAGAAAUUGUCAUUUGGGCUACAGAUGGGAAGACGUAGAAAUGUAACUCAAACUACGACCAUAAUAUCCCUCUCUCUUCGAAUAAUUUGUCUCUUGGAUAUGGAUAAAAAGCAUAGACAUAUGACUGGGGAUCAUUUUCUCUAACAGAGACAUGGAACUCAAACAAAUUCCCUGAGCUGCGUUGGAUCCUGUUCUUUCUGAGGCCUGACACUUCAGCGUCUUCAAAUCUAAUUUGCAAUGCCCCAUAUCCUUCCGGUACACCUCUCCUAUUUAAGUUACCUAGAGUCCAUUUAUGUUGCUUGCAAUCAAGAACCCUAACUGACAAAAGAAGCUAUUCACUUUUCUACCCAAAUAUUUGAAACUAUACAGGUUGGUCUCUCCUACCUUGUUAAUUAUACCUGUUUUCUUCUCCAGCUUUUCCCAGGUGAAGCCAUUAAUGCCUCCACCCAUAGGCUUAACCCUGCCCUGUUUCUGAGCCAACUCUAAAGUGAGGAAUAGGACUAAAGAGGUGGUGGGUGAGUUGCAUGCAGGAUACCAAACGAUAAAUCGCGGGGGCUUCCAGAAGUUCCAGAGGAAUUACCUAGAAGGCAUCAUUCCAAGGAGGAAGGAGGCCAAAGCAUCACAUAGACUUCAUAAAACAAGGGACCUUGCCUAUCUUAUUCCCCACUGUAUCCCCAGUACAAAAAAUUAUGUCUGGCUCAUGGGACCGUGAUAGAUGCUGGGGAUGCAAAGAGAACUUUACAAAGUAGCCCUUACAUUAAAGGAGUAGCCAACCUAAUGGCCUGCAUGAAGUUUAAAAAUGCAAAAUACUGUGAUAAGCCCAUGGAGAAUCAGCACACAUAGGCACACGGAUAACACAAAUGAGAAGGUUGUUUUUCCCACCCAGCAUGAUCCUGAUUCCCACAUGAAUGGGUUUUAAUGAUAUGAUUGGAAGAGUUGCUGACUAUUGAGUGCUGUGCUAAGCGUUUUCCAAAAAUCAACACUUCCCUCCUUUACAACGAUGACACCUAUUCCAUGCAUAAGUAAACUGUUGCCCAGUGAAGGAAAGAGACUUACCCAAAGUCAUGUAUCUAAGAUUUCAACUCAGUUCUGUCUAACGCUUGAUCUUCAAAUCUUCUCCAGCAUAGUAAGCUGGUGCCCCUGUUAAUGUAGAUGAGUUUGGAUGGGUUUAUUCCAAUAUCGCACGUGUCUCUUGUCUCGUUAUCCAAUGAGUUCCCUGAGCCAAGCACUCCGCAGCUCCAUCGCAGCGUGGGCAUCUUGGAAAUUCGGUGCUAGUUCUCAAGGCCUCCUACCUGCUGAACCUUAGUCUUCACUGCUGAAAUAAGAGCUGUCCUGCAAACAGCGUUUGGCGCUCGCUUCCUGGCCUCCGGCUGGUGGAGCAAGGACGUUUCCAGCACAUAAGAUUCCCCACUCUGUUAAAAAAAAAUGUGUUUAUACUUGGUCUCCUCUGAAGGCGGACGACACCCAUACUUUUGUCCCAGCCCAAUUUGUUGGCUGGGUUUUUUCUCAUCCUUUAAAUCCCGAGAAGCAGGGAACCUGCCCUCUGGCGCCAUCUACCGGCACUGUUUUUCGAGUCCAAGGAGCCACCUGCGGAGUUGGGAUGUGUUUAGUAAUUGAUUGGAUGAAUCCUGCCACUUCGUUAGUAGAUUCUUAUUUUCUUCACGGACUCUUUACCAAUUAGUAAAGAGAUUAUAUAGCAAAUACAUUAUCUUACUUUAAAGAGACCAGAGUCUCCUAUCUCUCGCUUCCCCCACCCCAUCAUUUGUGGCAUUCCUUCAUCUUUAAUUUCUUCCUUCGAAAAAUAUUUAUUUUGUUAUUGUAUAGAGAUCAGGGCAUGGGGCACACAGCUGCACACCUGAGCAAACAGAGGGGCUGACUCAUUUGCUGUUGUAAUGAAAAACAUUAGUUUUGGGUUCAUUACUGUGAUUCCACAAUGGGCACCAAAUCCCGCUUAAGACCCACCGAAGAAGUCUUCAAAGGGACACGGUUUCAGGUCUGUGCCUGGUGAGCGUGCUGCCUCUUCGAAUCUUUGCACAGAAAUAACCUACGGUUGAAGACUCAGACCUGUCAGAUCAAA